rnacentral:rRNA from 1 species
UGCAAGUCGAACGGAAGUCGUUGUAAUGAAAUAGAAACGGACAGAGAACUUGUUCGAAGAAAGUGGAAGUAGACUUACAACAAUGGCUUUAGUGGCGGACUGGUGAGUAACGCGUAAGGAACCUGCCUUCUAGAGGGGAAUAACAAUGAGAAAUCAUUGCUAAUACCGCAUAUGCCGAGAGAAUCACAUGGUACAAUCGGGAAAAGAGUAAUCUGCUAGAAGAUGGCCUUGCGUCUGAUUAGAUAGUUGGUGGGGUAACGGCCUACCAAGUCGACGAUCAGUAGCCGGACUGAGAGGUUGAACGGCCACAUUGGGACUGAGAUACGGCCCAGACUCCUACGGGAGGCAGCAGUCGGGAAUAUUGCGCAAUGGAGGAAACUCUGACGCAGUGACGCCGCGUAUAGGAAGAAGGUUUUCGGAUUGUAAACUAUUGUCGUUAGGGAAGAGAAAGGACAGUACCUAAGGAGGAAGCUCCGGCUAACUACGUGCCAGCAGCCGCGGUAAUACGUAGGGAGCGAGCGUUAUCCGGAAUUAUUGGGUGUAAAGGGUGCGUAGACGGGAAGAUAAGUUAGUUGUGAAAUCCCUCGGCUUAACUGAGGAACUGCAACUAAAACUGUUUUUCUUGAGUGCAGGAGAGGUAAGUGGAAUUCCUAGUGUAGCGGUGAAAUGCGUAGAUAUUAGGAGGAACACCAGUGGCGAAGGCGACUUACUGGACUGUAACUGACGUUGAGGCACGAAAGUGUGGGGAGCAAACAGGAUUAGAUACCCUGGUAGUCCACACCGUAAACGAUGGAUACUAGGUGUAGGAGAUAUUAAGUCUUCUGUGCCGUCGCAAACGCAGUAAGUAUCCCACCUGGGGAGUACGGCCGCA